rnacentral:rRNA from 1 species
UGCUUCCUACGGGAGGCAGCAGUAGGGAAUCUUCCACAAUGGACGAAAGUCUGAUGGAGCAACGCCGCGUGAGUGAAGAAGGGUUUCGGCUCGUAAAGCUCUGAUGGUAGUGAAGAAAGAUAGAGGUAGUAACUGGCCUUUAUUUGACGGUAAUUACUUAGAAAGUCACGGCUAACUACGUGCCAGCAUCCGCGGUAAUAAGUAGGUGGCAAGCGGUGUCCGGAUUUAUUGGGCGUAAAGCGAGUGCAGGCGGGUCAAUAAGGUUG